rnacentral:rRNA from 1 species
AGAGUUUGAUCCUGGCUCAGAGCGAACGUUAGCGGCGCGCCUAACACAUGCAAGUCGCACGAGAAAGGGCUUCGGCCCCGGUACAGUGGCGCACGGGUGAGUAACACGUGGGUAACCUUCCCAAGAGUGGUGGAUAACCUGCCGAAAGGCGGGCUAAUACAGCAUACGACGGGCUGUCUUCGGACGGUUCGUGAAAGCAGGCCUCUGUACACAAGCUUGCGCUCAUGGAUGGGCUCGCGCCCCAUCAGCUAGUUGGCGAGGUAAUGGCUCACCAAGGCAUAGACGGGUAGCUGGUCUGAGAGGAUGGCCAGCCACACUGGAACUGAGACACGGUCCAGACUCCUACGGGAGGCAGCAGUGGGGAAUCUUGCGCAAUGGACGAAAGUCUGACGCAGCGAAGCCGCGUGGGCGACGAAGGCCUUCGGGU